rnacentral:rRNA from 1 species
ACGAACUGUCAAUAACCACGGAUAGCUGCCCUAGAUGCAUAACCCCGGAACUGGUGAUAAUUCCGAAUAACCCAUUUAUGCUGAUGCUUUUGUUUCAAAGCUUCAACUGCUAAGAUGAUUCUGCGCCUAUCAGUAGUAGUGGGUGUAAUGUACCUACUAGCUACGACGGUACGGUUGUGAGAGCAAGAGCCCGAGAUGGAAUUCUGAGACAUAAAUCCAGACCCUACGGGGUGCAGCAGGCGCGAAAUCUUUACAAUGCGGGAAACCGCGAUAAGGGGACACUGAGUGCCAGCAUAUUAUGUUGGCUGUCCACAUGUCUAAAAACCAUGUGUUAGCAAGGGCCGGGCAAGACCGGUGCCAGCCGCCGCGGUAACACCGGCGGCCCGAGUGGUGAUCACUUUUAUUGGGUCUAAAGGGUCCGUAGCCGGUUUAAUCAGUCUUCUGGGAAAUCUGACAGCUCAACUGUUAGGCUUUCAGGGGAUACUGUUAAGCUUGGGACCGGGAGAGGUAAGAGGUACUACAGGGGUAGGAGUGAAAUCUUGUAAUCCCUGUGGGACCGCCGGUGGCGAAGGCGUCUUACCAGAACGGGUCCGACGGUGAGGGACGAAAGCUGGGGGCACGAACCGGAUUAGAUACCCGGGUAGUCCCAGCCGUAAACGAUGUUCGCUAAGUGUCAGGGACGGUGCGACCGUUUCUGGUGCCGUAGGGAAGCCGUGAAGCGAACCACCUGGGAAGUACGGCCGCAAGGCUGAAACUAAAG